AACGGCCAUACCAUCCUGAAUAUACCGGUUCUCGUUAGAUCACCGAAGUCAAGCGCUGUCAGUACUUGGGUGGGUGACCACCUGGGAACACCGCGUGCCGUU